rnacentral:lncRNA from 1 species
CCCCAAGCCCCCGCAGCCCUGCACCCCUGCAGCCGUGGCCACGGCCUUGCACGGGCCACAGGUCAAAACUCCGCUUCAGCGUUGCUGUUCGUUUGGACCGUGUCGCUUUAAAACGGUUUGGUAACAGUCUGAGAAAACCAUCUUGAAGUGCCUAGAACAGUGCCUGGCACGUUGCUGUGGAAGCACAGCUCUGCCCUGACCCCCGUUCUGACUCCUAUAACAAGAUCU